CUUCUUACCAGGGAUGUUAUUCUUGACCCCCCGGGGCAAACGGAGGUGUUUGCCUGGUCAGCGUCAGGAGCCAUCCUAACUGAGGCCCUGCUGGGUAAGUGCUUUUCGUGUGACUGGACGGUGAAGCUGUCUGUGGGAAUGACCUGGCUAUUGGUCGGUGCAGUCCUAAUUAAAGUGUCUUUUACUCCGUGUUCCCAGGCUCCCUCUUUCCCUUCGGUCGCCGUGGAUGUGCCGGACGCCUCUGGCAGGACUAACCCUGUAGCUUUUAUGUCCAGCGUGCCGUGUGCCUGCAGAAUUGCCACGAGAGGAAAUACCUCAGAGGGGCUUCCUUCCAGAUAAGCCCUGAAUAUGCCAGGAGGUUUCAGCCGGGAGAAAGGAGCUGUGGAAGAAAAGCAGCCUAAAAAUAGCCAGUGGGGAUCAUCAGGUUUUCCAGCCAAGAAAAACAAGGAGGGAGAUGAGGGAAUCGGCUUUCAAUUCGUAAUGAUUUGGUGGGUGUAGGAAUGCUUUCUGUGUGUUUUCCAGUCCCUUUUGAUUCCUGGGAUGAUUUUAAAAUGAUGGCUUUAGCAGUCAA